rnacentral:lncRNA from 1 species
CACCCCACCCCACCCGACCCCACUCUACCCACCUCCUACUCCGACUGUGGGACGACGUCUCUUUCUUCUACGGCUCGAUAGCUGUUUUCGGGGUUUUUCACUCGAUUUCUCUCUGGGAGGUGGCGCUGUUCCUCUCGGAGAGAUAGGGAAACGAUUUUCGUUUGGGGGGUUCCAUUGUUCUUUUAUGCGAUUUGCGGGGGUUUUCGUCACGGUAUUCAAAUUGCGACCAUCUUGUAGAGGGGAUGCUUUUACAUUGCAACGUCGUGAUCCCGCUUUGAUUGAGAUAAAGGGGUUGGUGUGAUUUAAAUGUAAAAAAGAAUCGCUUAUUUUUAGUUAGUUUUUCUCCCGACAGGUGGUUCUGACGCCAAUCCAUAAUUCAAGGCCGACGAACUUCAACGCGGCCUUGGAUUGGAUUCAAAAACAAAACAAAAACAAAACAAGGCUGGCUGCUAAUCAAUCAACUGAACCAAGGCAAGUUUAAAGCAAAAUCUGGUACAAUAGCCGUACGGUUUUUUAUAUACCGAAAAGCAUUCAUUCAUCAUGGAGUCCAGGAUGAUUUACGAUGUGAUGGUAGAACAAUGCUGGAUUACCACCCUAUAAUUCUUGAAACUACAUUAGUUUCUAAUGCCAGUGGAUCGGCAAGGCUGAGACUUGCAAACUCAUCAACAUCUGGAAAAUGAAAUUUGCAAAUUCCUACAAAGAUCCUAUGCUUCAGCUGAUGUGAUUUUUCCACCAGUCCUGAUGUAUCAACACUGGUGCAGAGUCUACGACAAGCCUUGGCCCUUGAAGCUAAAUUCCAACCAAAGCUUCAACUUCUGUCAACACUCAACAGCCAGCAAUACAGGAGAAAGCGGUGAAAUUAUGUGUGCAAUGAGGGAUGGAGCUGCUCAUGUUCUUUGCUGCAUGAAAGUCUGGUAUGAUCUUCCUUAUGCAGUUCUUCUGGAUGCUCUCAACAUGAUGGACUGGUUCAUGAGCCGCAUGAAAGCACUCCUAAACACCUCUCAUGCAUAGCAAUCAGCUCCUUCCAUCUAGCAGCUUGCCAAUGGGUGGAGAGGAUUAAACAGAACAACAUUGAGGUAUCUUCCAUUCAGAGUCCAAUGUAGAUUGUUCCUGAACCUCAAUAUCUGGUAACGAUAUCUUAAUGUAAAUGUACCGCCGGAGACAUCAACCGGAUGGAAAAAAUUGUCGAAGCCAAGAUAGCUUGUCUACCCCAAAAAGAACCGGUCACGACCUUAACAUUCCUCAACCUGUAUCACUCACUUCUCUCGACGACUUUUUACCUGCCGCUCUUCAGCAAGAGCAAGACCUUCUUAUUCUUUCAUGCAAGCAGGAGACCAUUUGCUGUGACGCAAAAUAAUGCUGCCUUUCCCUCAUCUCUUUUGACUUUCGUCCUACUGUUUGUCGAAAUAAAGUGUCACCAGCCGGCCAUCGAGGUUAUUAUCAGAGACGUUUUACUAGAACUUCAGCGACUUGUUCAGGUCAAAGAUGACUAGUUGAAGGAGUGUAUAAGAAUGGUCACUUCGGCAAUGGCACCUUACGAUGGCUAUGCCCAAAGCAAUCCGUCUCAUCGUCAACGACUUACCUGGAAGUUGUCCUUUUUCUACUAUUUCUUUGCCUUCUAAACCAUUUAUAAUAAGUUUUGCCUUUAGUAAAGCAAAAUGCCUAGCUUUUUCUAGUCCUAUACCACUUACUUGUUGAGCCUGUGUAAAUUCGGGUCUCAGUGAUAUAUGAUUACCACUCUUAACAAGAAAACUAUAUAUUUCUUUACUCACUACAUCAGAAGUUUCUCCAAGUGUGCGGUCGAAAAUUUUAGUCAAAAUUCCCUUCAUAGAUAAGAGAAAUAGAGCCGUAAUUUCAUCCUA